AGAGUGAACGCUGGCGGUAGGCCUAACACAUGCAAGCCGAACGGCAGCACAGUAGGAGCUUGCUCUUACGGGUGGCGAGUGGCGGACGGGUGAGGAAUACAUCGGAAUCUACCUUUUGGUGGGGGAUAACGUAGGGAAACUUACGCUAAUACCGCAUACGCCCUUCGGGGGAAAGCCGGGGACCAGCAAUGGCCUGGCGCUGAUAGAUGAGCCGAUGUCGGAUUAGCUAGUUGGUGAGGUAAUGGCUCACCAAGGCGACGAUCCGUAGCUGGUCUGAGAGGAUGAUCAGCCACACUGGAACUGAGACACGGUCCAGACUCCGUACGGGAGCAGCA
rnacentral:rRNA from 1 species